CCUACUGGUGACAGCAGUGAGGAAUAUUGGUCAAUGGACGAGAGUCUGAACCAGCCAAGUAGCGUGAAGGAUGACUGCCCUAUGGGUUGUAAACUUCUUUUAUAUGGGAAUAAAAUGUUCCACGUGUGGGAUUUUGUAUGUACCAUAUGAAUAAGGAUCGGCUAACUCCGUGCCAGCAGCCGCGGUAAUACGGAGGAUCCGAGCGUUAUCCGGAUUUAUUGGGUUUAAAGGGAGCGUAGGUGGAUUGUUAAGUCAGUUGUGAAAGUUUGCGGCUCAACCGUAAAAUUGCAGUUGAAACUGGCAGUCUUGAGUACAGUAGAGGUGGGCGGAAUUCGUGGUGUAGCGGUGAUAUGCUUAGAGAUCACGAAGAACUCCGAUUGCGAAGGCAGUUCACUGGACUGCAACUGACACUGAGGCUCGAAAGUGUGGGUAUCAAACAGGAUUAGAUACCCCAGUAGUC
rnacentral:rRNA from 1 species